rnacentral:SRP_RNA from 1 species
GCUGGGCGUGGUGGUGGGCGCCUGUAAUCCUAGCUACUCGGGAGGCUGAGGCAUGAGAAUCGCUUGAACCCAGGAGGCAGAGGUUGCAGUGAGCUGAGCUGAGAUUGUGCCACUGCACUCCAGCCUGGGCGACAGAGUGAGACUUUGUCUCAA